rnacentral:rRNA from 1 species
GCGGACGGGUGAGUAACACGUGGGCAACCUGCCUGUAAGACUGGGAUAACUCCGGGAAACCGGGGCUAAUACCGGAUAAUUCAUUCUCUCUCAUGAGGGAAUGUUGAAAGACGGUUUCGGCUGUCACUUACGGAUGGGCCCGCGGCGCAUUAGCUAGUUGGUGAGGUAACGGCUCACCAAGGCAACGAUGCGUAGCCGACCUGAGAGGGUGAUCGGCCACACUGGGACUGAGACACGGCCCAGACUCCUACGGGAGGCAGCAGUAGGGAAUCUUCCGCAAUGGACGAAAGUCUGACGGAGCAACGCCGCGUGAGCGAUGAAGGCCUUCGGGUCGUAAAGCUCUGUUGUUAGGGAAGAACAAGUACCGGAGUAACUGCCGGUACCUUGACGGUACCUAACCAGAAAGCCACGGCUAACUACGUGCCAGCAGCCGCGGUAAUACGUAGGUGGCAAGCGUUGUCCGGAAUUAUUGGGCGUAAAGCGCGCGCAGGCGGUCCUUUAAGUCUGAUGUGAAAGCCCACGGCUCAACCGUGGAGGGUCAUUGGAAACUGGGGGACUUGAGUGCAGAAGAGGAGAGUGGAAUUCCACGUGUAGCGGUGAAAUGCGUAGAGAUGUGGAGGAACACCAGUGGCGAAGGCGACUCUCUGGUCUGUAACUGACGCUGAGGCGCGAAAGCGUGG